GGAAUAUUGCGCAAUGGGCGAAAGCCUGACGCAGCAACGCCGCGUGGAGGAUGAAGGUCUUCGGAUUGUAAACUCCUGUCAGUGGGGAAAAAGGGGAACGUGCUCAUACCACGUUUCAUUGAUUGUACCCGCAGAGGAAGCCCCGGCUACCUCCGGGCCAAGAGCCGCGGUAAUACCGAGGGGGCAAGCGUUAUUCGGACUUAUUGGGCGUAAAGGGCGCGUAGGCGGCCCUUCAAGUGGUAGGUGAAAUCCCUCGGCUCAACCGAGGAGCUGCCCGCCAAACUGAAGAGCUUGAGUCCGGGAGAGGUGAGUGGAAUUCCCAGUGUAGCGGUGAAAUGCGUAGAUAUUGGGAGGAACACCAGUGGCGAAGGCGGCUCACUGGACCGGAACUGACGCUGAGGCGCGAAAGCGUGGGGAGCAAA
rnacentral:rRNA from 1 species